UACGGGGGGAGCAAGCGUUGUUCGGAUUUACUGGGCGUAAAGGGCGCGUAGGCGGCCACCGCAAGUCAAUUGUGAAAUCUCCGGGCUUAACUCGGAAAGGUCAACUGAUACUGCGGGGCUAGAGUGCGGAAGGGGCAACUGGAAUUCUCGGUGUAGCGGUGAAAUGCGUAGAUAUCAAGAGGAACACCUGCGGCGAAGGCGGGUUGCUGGGCCGACACUGACGCUGAUGCGCGAAAGCCAGGGGAGCGAACGGG
rnacentral:rRNA from 1 species